GAAUUGGGAGAUCGCCAUUUCAAUCCUUUCUAGCAGAAAACACUGCAAAAUUCUCUCCCAAUUCAAGAAAAUAUGUGUAGAGACAAAAGGGUCUCCAUCUUCAUUGCCUACAUAACCCUUCUCAGCUUUGUUUCAAAGGGUAUCCAUGCAUUUGAACCAGAAUUCGGGUCGACCCGUGUUGUGUUUCAGACAAAUUAUGGAGAUAUCGAAUUUGGUUUCUACCCUAGUGUUGCGCCAAAGACAGUUGAGCAUAUCUUCAAGCUAGUGCGCUUGGGAGGCUACAAUACCAAUCACUUCUUUCGGGUAGAUAAGGGUUUUGUUGCUCAAGUGGCUGAUGUUGCUGGGGGGAGGAGUGCACCUAUGAAUGAAGAACAGAGGGCAGUAGCUGAAAAAAAUGUUGUUGGUGAAUUUAGUAAAGUGAAACACGUUAGAGGAAUCCUUUCAAUGGGAAGGCAUGAUGAUCCUGACAGCGGUUCCUCAUCAUUUUCAAUGCUCCUUGGAGAUGCACCUCAUCUUGAUGGCACGUAUGCAAUAUUUGGCAAAGUUACGAAAGGAGAUGAAACAUUGAGAAAGCUUGAGCAGUUACCUACUAGACGUGAAGGAAUCUUUGUAAUGCCGACGGAACGCAUCACAAUUCACUCAACAUAUUAUUAUGACACCAAGAUGGAAUCUUGUGAAGACGAGAGAUUGUCGUUAAAAAGAAGACUUUCUGCCGCAUCAGUUGAAAUAGAAAAACAGAGGAUGAAAUGCUUUCCUUGAUCAAGUGGUAAAAGAUGAAGAGUUCGGGUGACUCUUAUCGAAAGCUGUAUACAAUCUCUACCUCUUUAUAUUGAGUGAGCGUAUCACAUAAAUUGGGACAGAGCAAGUAUUAUUACAAGUGGGCUGUGUGUCAAAACUCAUGAAAUUAUGAACAGUUCAUUUCUUAGGAAUGUGUCCAAUUGAGUACUGACCAUAUUUUAGUCAAUCAUUAUAUGGAAUUGACUUCUAUAUAGUCCUUUAUGUGUUGUUAUUUCAUU
rnacentral:misc_RNA from 1 species